CCUACGGGUGGCAGCAGUGAGGAAUAUUGCUCAAUGACCGGAAGGCUGACCCAGCCAUGCCGCGUGAAGGUCAGUGGUCUUCGGGCGUUAAACUUCUUUUGUGCGGGAGCAAUAAUGGUCACGUGAGGCCAGACGAGAGUACCGUACGCAUAAGCAUAGGCUCACUCCGUGCCCGUAGCCGCGGUAACACGGGGGAUGCAAGCGUUAUCCGGAAUUAUUGGGUUUGAAGGUGGAGUAAGCUGGUAGGUAAGUCAGAGGUGAAAUGCCCCCGCUCAACGGGGUGAAGUGCCAUUGAUACUGGCUAGCUGGAGUGCGGAUGCCGUGGGAGGAAUGUGUGGUGUAGCGGUGAAAUGCGUAGAUAUCACGCAGAACACCGAUUGCGAAGGCGUCUCAC
rnacentral:rRNA from 1 species